ensembl:lncRNA
AGAAAAUGUUGUAUGAAUAAGCCUUUACUCCAAGGACUUGUGUUUCUUCACAUCCUUAGGAAUUGCUCUGUGGUUUAGAAACCAAGCAUAUUGUUAAUUCUAUCUCUAUUGAAUGCCUUUUGACUCAGGAGACUAACAAACAAUGUUGGCAGGAACAUCAGUCAAUCUUCUGAAAGAGGAUAAAGGGAAACAUUCAUCUGCACAGAAUGGCAUGGCACGCAGAAGUGAUGAGGGCUGCACUCCAAGAGGAUUAAGCACACAAAGAAGAUAAUUAACUUGCUGAGGCCCUACAGAAAAUUGUGGAAUGGUAAGAACGGCAUUCAGAGUUUCUGCUAUCCUAAGAAAGAUUGAUUCAAAUAGCUACAGUACAUGCCUCAGAGUUCAUUUGUAAGCCCCAAGUGUUCAUAGAAAUGAAGAAGAAUAUUUAACCUUAAACAUCAGGCAAAGAAAAUAAAAUGUUGAUAAUUUACAA